AGAUAGAAAGUUACUUCGGUACAUCGGUGACAGGUGGUGGCAUGGUUGUCGUCAGCUCGUGUCGUGAGAUGUUGGGUUAAGUCCCGCAACGAGCGCAACCCCUAUUGUUAGUCGCCAUCAUUCAGUUGGGCACUCUAGCGAGACUGCCGGUAAUAAACCGGAGGAAGGUGGGAUGACGUCAAAUCAUCAUGCCCCUUAUGACCUGGGCUACACACGUGCUACAAUGGUUGGUACAACGAGUUGCGAGUCGGUGACGGCGAGCUAAUCUCUUAAAGCCAAUCUCAGUUCGGAUUGUAGGCUGCAACUCGCCUACAUGAAGUCGGAAUCGCUAGUAAUCGCGGAUCAGCACGCCGCGGUGAAUACGUUCCCGGGCCUU
rnacentral:rRNA from 1 species